AUCAGUAGAUUUGGAACAUGUUAACAAUUUUCUGAAUUUGAAUCCUCUGCCUUGCAUUGAGCCUGGGCAUCUUAAAUUAAAGGGUUAUGCAGAAGAGGCAAUGAUUUUGGUUCAGGAAAUUGAUUCUGCCUUGUCAACGAGUUCAAAAUCCUCUAUCCCUGAGUUGGAACAGCUAUAUUCCAGAGCGUGUGAGGUACCUAUCUAUGUAAAGGAAAUGGAGAAGUUGAUGGCAAGGAU